UUUAAAAAUGUUUUUAUUUAUUUUUGAGACAGAGAGAGACAGAGCAUGGGCAGGGGAGGGGCAGAGAGAGAGGGAGACACAGAAUCUGAAGCAGGCUCCAGGCUCUGAGCUGUCAGCACAGAGCCUGACAUGGGGCUCGAGCUCACGGACUGUAAGAUCAUGACGCGAGCUGAAGUCGGACGCUUAACCGACUAAGCCACCCAGGCGCCCCAAAGGCCCACAUUAUAGCCUCACCAUCCAGAGCAGGCAGGUCACCUUGGCACUCCUAGUCCCCAUCCGGCUCCCAGGCCCGGGAAAAGCAGAGCAGAGACAUGGAGGGGGCCUAGAACCAAAAGCGCAAGGCUCAAGCACCGCUCGAAUGUCCAACCAAACCCCAAGCCUGUGCUGCUCCUUUUAAGGAAGGGCCGCAGAAAGGAGUCUGCCAGACAUGGACUGGCCUAUAGCUGGAGGGAAUGCAGGACUAGGGGUGGAAGAAGAAGAGGCUGUCAGGAAAGGAGCCACAGAAACAAAGAUAAAGCCAGGAGAGCACAGGAGAGUUCCCAGCAGGAGGCGGGGAUGGUGAAGGGGCGGGCCCGGCCACGUUUGAGUAGCUCCAAGCAGGAUGGAACCAGUUCUGCAGAUGCUGCCCACUGUUCCGUGCCUGGGGCUCACCUCCAAGGAGUAGCGCCCAAUCUUCUCACACACAGGAUACUGCUCCCACCCUUCUUCACCAUGGCAAAACCCAGUCAUCGAGACUUGAACAUGAACUCCAUUUUCUCAGAGAACAACAGAAUCUGGCUAGAAUUUCCUUGCAAGUACACCCAAAUGGAUGUGCUAGAGGAGCCCUGAUUUUUGCUUUUUCCAAACUUUAUUAUUUAAAGUACUGUGGCUGAUUUCAGUCUGUCAACAUGAAGUCACUAAAACCAGAUUUGGAAAGAGAUGCACACAGUCUACUCUCAUGAGACAGGUAAAGUUGGCUAGAUUAUACCACUUUUUAUAAUGUCCUUAAAUUGCAUGUUUAUGCAUAUCAAAUUAGCAAUUUGGCUGAUUAAUUUUAUUUGGGUUUGGAAGUCUGUAUAUACCUCCACUUUUUCAUUAUGUAUUUUAUAACUUAAUGUUUCAUACCAAUUUGGAAAGCCACCUAGCCCCGUUUCCUUUUAAAGCCCGCAUGUUAUAAACUGAUCUGUGUACCCCUAAAAUUAAUACGCUGCAGCCUUCAUUCCCACUGGGACUAUAUUUGGCGAUAAAGCCUUAAGGAGAUGAUUGAGGUUAAAGUAGGUCGUAAGGGUAGGGUCCUAAUUCCAGAGGACUGGAUUCAUUACAGUAACAAGAAGAAACACCAGAGACCUUUCUCUGAGUGUGCACAGAGAAAGGCCAUCUGAGAAUACAGUGAGAAGGUGGCUAUUUACCAACUGGGAUGAGAGGUCUCUCUAGACAUCAACCCUGCUGGCAUAUUGAUAUUAGACUUCAAGCCCCUAAAACUAUAAGAAAACAAACUUCUGUUGUUUAAGCCACUCAGUCUGUGUUAUUAUAGCCUUAGCAGACUAAUGUGCUAUUAAAUAUUAGAUAUGCAUAUCCUUAGAUUUCUUUCUCUUUCUUAAAGCUAGAUAAAAAAUACUAUAAAAACAUGAAAAGGCAG
ensembl:lncRNA